rnacentral:lncRNA from 1 species
AUCAUAGAUUCAUAGAUGCUUGAGCCGCAUACGUGUCCGAUCUCUAUGGAUAUCCAUCGAGAUCAAUCUCAAACUGAUCUCCUCAUAGUAAAAUCUUCUUUCAAGAAGAAUCUUAUCCUUGAGAUCUUAGAUCAACACCUUGAUUUAGACUGCAGGAUCAACUCCUUGAUCUGCAGCCUUCUUCUUCUUCCCCUCGUUUCUUGCUCUUGAAGACAAAUCACUACUACUUCUUGGUGUGUGGAAAGGGAGAUGCCCAACCCUUGGGUGUGGAAGAGAAUAAAGGGAGGAGAGGAGGCAUGG